GGAAGUAUUAUUUUAAUUAAAAAUAUCUGACUCUUAAUCAGAAGAUGUAAAUAUUUUAAUUUUUUUU
rnacentral:tRNA from 1 species